rnacentral:rRNA from 1 species
CUACGGGCGGCACCAGUGGGGAAUAUUGCACAAUGGGCGCAAGCCUGAUGCAGCCAUGCCGCGUGUAUGAAGAAGGCCUUCGGGUUGUAAAGUACUUUCAGCGGGGAGGAAGGGAGUAAAGUUAAUACCUUUGCUCAUUGACGUUACCCGCAGAAGAAGCACCGGCUAACUCCGUGCCAGCAGCCGCGGUAAUACGGAGGGUGCAAGCGUUAAUCGGAAUUACUGGGCGUAAAGCGCACGCAGGCGGUUUGUUAAGUCAGAUGUGAAAUCCCCGGGCUCAACCUGGGAACUGCAUCUGAUACUGGCAAGCUUGAGUGUCGUAGAGGGGGGUAGAAUUCCAGGUGUAGCGGUGAUAUGCGUAGAGAUCUGGAGGAAUACCGGUGGCGAAGGCGGCCCCCUGGACGAAGACUGACGCUCAGGUGCGAAAGCGUGGGGAGCAAACAGGAUUAGAUACCCGUGUAGUC